rnacentral:rRNA from 1 species
AUUGAACGCUGGCGGCAUGCCUUACACAUGCAAGUCGAACGGCAGCACGGGAGCAAUCCUGGUGGCGAGUGGCGAACGGGUGAGUAAUACAUCGGAACGUGCCCAGUAGUGGGGGAUAACCCGGCGAAAGCCGGACUAAUACCGCAUACGACCUACGGGUGAAAGCGGGGGAUCGCAAGACCUCGCGCUAUCGGAGCGGCCGAUGUCAGAUUAGCUAGUUGGUGGGGUAAAGGCCUACCAAGGCGACGAUCUGUAGCUGGUCUGAGAGGACGACCAGCCACACUGGGACUGAGACACGGCCCAGACUCCUACGGGAGGCAGCAGUGGGGAAUUUUGCACAAUGGGCGCAAGCCUGAUCCAGCCAUGCCGCGUGCGGGAAGAAGGCCUUCGGGUUGUAAACCGCUUUUGUCAGGGAAGAAACGCUCCGGGCUAAUACCACGGAGUAAUGACGGUACCUGAAGAAUAAGCACCGGCUAACUACGUG